GACGAACGCUGGCGGCGUGCCUAAUACAUGCAAGUUGAGCGCUGAAGGUUGGUACUUGUACCGACUGGAUGAGCAGCGAACGGGUGAGUAACGCGUGGGUAAUCUGCUUUUGAGCGGGGGACAACAUUUGGAGACGAAUGCUAAUACCGCAUAAAAACUUUAAACACAAGUUUUAAGUUUGAAAGAUGCAAUUGCAUCACUCAAAGAUGAUUCCGCGUUUUAUUAGCUAGUUGGUGAGGUAAAGGCUCACCAAGGCGAUGAUACAUAGCCGACCUGAGAGGGUGGUCGGCCACCUUGGGACUGGGACCCCGCCCCAGCUCCUACGGGGGGCAGCCGUAGGGAAUCUUCGGCCAUGGACGGAAGUCUUACCGCGCACCGCCGCGUGAGUGGAGGAGGGUUUCGGAUCGUAAAACUCUGUUGGUAGAGAAGAACGUUGGUGAGAGUGGAAAGCUCAUCAAGUGACGGUACCUACACAGAAAGCGACGGCUAACUACGUG
rnacentral:rRNA from 1 species